rnacentral:rRNA from 1 species
AGAGUUUGAUCAUGGCUCAGAACGAACGCUGGCGGCAGGCUUAACACAUGCAAGUCGAACGCACCGCAAGGUGAGUGGCAGACGGGUGAGUAACGCGUGGGAACGUGCCCUUCAGUUCGGGAUAACCCAGGGAAACUUGGGCUAAUACCGGAUACGUGCGAGAGCAGAAAGAUUUAUCGCUGAAGGAUCGGCCCGCGUCUGAUUAGCUGGUUGGUGAGGUAAUGGCUCACCAAGGCGACGAUCAGUAGCUGGUCUGAGAGGAUGAUCAGCCACAUUGGGACUGAGACACGGCCCAAACUCCUACGGGAGGCAGCAGUGGGGAAUAUUGGACAAUGGGCGCAAGCCUGAUCCAGCCAUGCCGCGUGAGUGAUGAAGGCCUUAGGGUUGUAAAGCUCUUUCGUCCGGGACGAUAAUGACGGUACCGGAAGAAGAAGCCCCGGCUAACUUCGUGCUAGCCGCCGCGGUAAUAC